rnacentral:rRNA from 1 species
CUUUCAACAACGGAUCUCUUGGCUCUCGCAUC